GCCCAUCUUUAAGGAAAAAAUCGGCGCCCUUUUUCGAUCUCGGCACGGCAGGGAAGCGAGGCGCGGCACUGCAUCGAUAAUAAUAAGCGCUUGUAAAUUGAGCUUAAUUCGUGGAGGAAGUUGCAAGAUGGAGAGAAACUGCGGCUAAAAACGACGGAGGAGAAUCCUCGAGCCAGAAUACCCGCAAAUCGCGGAAGCACCUGUGCACCAAAGAAAACGUGUCCACCGAGUCGCAGAACAAGAUCGUGAACGAGUACGCGAGCGUGUGCGCGAGAAUGUGCGUGUGCAUGGGCGCGCGUGUGCGCAGCCGAGUGCGUGCACGUAGACGGGAAGGGAGAACGCGUGGUGCACUCUCGAGACACCGUGUUUCACGGCAGACCGCGUGGCAGCUCCUGGAUUUAUUUAUACGUCUCGCGUACCUAGCUACAUACAUACGAACGAGCCUGUGCACCGCUGGUUCGCGCUCGAAUAAACACCCUGCGCGCCGCGCCAAAUAUCGCCUGUAUUUAUGGACGCGUCCGAGCAACCUUUCAAUUCGGACAACUAACGCGAAUUCAAAUUUAUGCUCACCUGGUUCACGCUCUAAGUAUCCGGGAUUAACACCGGGGUCGCUCCCUUCGUUCUAUGAUCUCUGACGCGGUAUUCGAACCGAAGGGGAAAUAGUGGGGAUAGGAUUACGAGUUGUCGCUGAAGUUGGCUGAAAACGAGUUCGGAGUUGGAACGCGUCGAUGUACUGUUUCUAAUUACGAUUCAUCAAUCGAAAUUGUUGAGUGAAAUUGUUGAUCGAGAAACGAUUUCAAUCGUAUCAAAAAGCUCGCAAAAAGAGAGAGAGAGAAAAAGUAAUAUCGAUAUUCGCGACAUUUAACCUUAAUUAAUUUCAACGUUGUAAUCCUCUUAACCUCAAUUCUAUUUAUUUUCGAUUCGUUAAAUGAGUGAAAGUGUGAAAUUGUUGAUUUAGAAAUUGAUUUAGAGUUUGAAUCGUAUUAAAAAAGUCACGAAAGGAGAGAAAAAAGUGAUAUUGGAAAGAUUUAAUCUUCUUAACCUUAAUUUUAAUUCUAUUUAACUUUAUUCGUAAUCGAUAUUAUCGAGUUGUGAAUUAAAUUAAUUAAUUUAAAAAAAUUAGUGAUUCGUAUCAUAUUUAGUCGUUAAAAGUGAAUCGUAUUAUUUGAUUUUAAACAACAAUUGUAAAACCAUCGAUGAUAUUUAUCAGUAAAACAUUAAAUUCUUUAAGCUUAAUUAAACAAAUUGCAAUCUAAUUCGAUCUUUGAGACAAGUUACGAGUUGUGAAUAUUUAUGUUUUUAUAAUUUAAAAGAAAAUAUAUCGUUUAUCUUUUACAAACAAAAUUAUAAUAAACCAUUAUUGUAAAUUCUACUCUGUCGUUUGUGAAAUUUGAAAAGAAUUAAAAAGGAAACACGUGCAAUUCCCGACCUAACUGUUCAUGCAGGUGGUACAAUUUCUUAAAUCACUUCACGUAUGAAACAGGAAAUAAUCGAGACAACGAUCUCUUGUAUCGAUCUUGUUGCAACUAUACGAUUUUUUUCACAAUGAAUUCUCAGAAUCUUUGAAAGUUCUAUCACAAUCUCUUAUAUAACUGUUACGCAAGUGCAUUCGAGUAAGAUUUAAAGAAUUUGGAAUGCCGAAGAGGUUCGCGCUGUCGUAAUUUCGUGACUGUCUUCUCGGCAGACUGCGUGGCAGCACCUGGAAUUGUUUCUUGCGCCAAAGAACAUCUUAUUCAUCCCACGUUGCUUUCGAUUAAUUCAACAACGUUGUUCAAAUUGGAAUAUUUUAAUUAAAGAUAAGAUGUUUGAAAUUUCAAAGAUAACCUCUCGUAAAGCGACAGAAAAGAUGAAGCGAAGAUGGAAGAAGGGAAAAGAAAGCGGUGGUGGAGAGGAAGAGAGAGGAAGAAAGGACCAUUCAUCUGAGAGGUCGCGACGACUUCCAUUCAUGCAAAGCGCGUUGGCCUCGCAUCACGAGGAAGAAUAAUCGUUGUACGAGGGGAGGGGGCGGGUCGACGUAAGACCACGGAUAGAGAAUAACAUUCGUGCGGUUCCGAAA